CUGGAGUUGGCUACAGAGAAGGAAGGGGGAGCAGAUGGAGGCUGUGAGUCCAGGCAGAUGGAGACAUCAAGUCAUGACCGUCAGACUUGGGAGAAAAGGUCCCGCUGGUGCAGGGGGAUGACAGUGAGCAACUGGAUGCAGUGCAGAAAGAAGGUGUGAGAACGAUGAGAGCUGUGUGAGGUUUCCUGUCAGGGGCAGGAGUGCAGUGCCAACACUGUGGUCCCUGCUGAGGACUGAGGUGGAGGAGCGAGGCUGGAAGAGAUGGCUGAUCCAUAGGUAUGAUGGGUAUGUGUGGCUGGUUGUCCAUGGAGAGGCAGGGACAGAGAAAAAUGGAAGCAGUAGUUAAUAGGAGCUGAAAGAAGGAGAUAAGUUCAGGGGGGAAGAGCAGUAGUAGUCACUGUAGUCAGGGACUGGAGUACCCAGGAGAGAGGUGUCAGUCAAGAAAAGGAUGGGUACUUCUGUGUUAGGGCUGUAUAGGGCAGGAGUGAAGAGGGUGUAGGCAUAAGACAGAAGUGUAUUUGCAUUAGAACACAGUAGGGAAGCAAAGAUAUCUGAAAUACAUUUUAGAAGGAUGUUAGAAGGUGCAUGAAAGGAUUCUUGAAAGGUUUCCAUGAAGUAAGAACCCAUAGUCUUGGGCUAUAGCAAUGUUAAGGCUGAGUACAUGUGGUAAGGGAUGUGCAUCUGGGACAGCUUGAAGCAAAGAUGCCAAAUGUGCAUGGGGUAAAGGUAAAGAGGAAAGUACUGUCUUGAGACCCCUACAGAGUUAGUUGCACAGUUCAGAAAUGAUAACUAGGGAAGCGAUAUCAGUACUUUAAGGGAUACCACAGAGGCAUCACGAGUGAAAUGAUUAACUGGGUUUUGGAGAUGCAAGGGUGAGGAAGGAGUUUUACAAAUCACAUAGGGAACAUGACGUAAGAGUGAUGAUGUCAUAUACUGGGUAAGAAGAACAAGAAGGAGAGCCUGGGAACAUAGCUUAGUUGGUAGAGUACUUGUCUAGAAUGCAAGAAGCCCUAAACUUGAUCUCCAACAGCAGAUACAACUGUGGUAAACAGUACACUAGGGAGGGAAAGGCAGGAGGAUCAGGAGUUCAAUCAAGGUCUUUCUUGGGUACACAGUGAGUUCAAGGCCUAUACUACAUGAGACCAUGGCGCAGGAAAAAAAAUGAGAAAGAGCACAUAAUGAAGUCCUAGCAACUGAGAGGAGAGGGCUAUUGUGAGCAUACUAAAUGAAAUAAACCAAGAAAAUAAGGCAAAUGUGAGGGAUUGAACAUGAAGAAGUACAAACAUUUCCUUCUAAGGAUGAAGCUGUGGAAGAGAAAGAGCAUGGCCUAAGUAAGCAAGGAUGACAGAGGCCAAGGGUAGUGAGACUGCAGAGGGAGCACUAUCUCAGAAAUAGUCUAGGUCAGGGCUGUCCAAUGAAGGACAACAGGAGGGAGGAUGAGGGGAGCAGCUCCAAAAGAGUUGACAACUGUCCAGAAUGGUGGAGUCAAGAAGCCAAGAUGUUUUUAGAGGUGAAUUCAGAUAGCAGUAUAUGGAGACACAGUUUCCAAACGAAGGGCAUUCAGAUUCUAGUAGACAAGUCAAGUAAAUAGGGUGAGUGGUGUCAUGGCCAGACAUGUGAGGCAGAGCAGAACAGAGACAAAUGACUAAAGUGAUCUAAAUUAAAUAGGGAAAUCAGACAGCACGGCAUUUUAAAAUGGGACAUGCAUAGACAGUACCGACAAGUAACCUUGGGGACUUGGGAAAGGUCUACUCCGUACUGAGACCAUUAUGUUAGCAGCAAAAUACUUACAAAUGGCAGAGGUGCAGCUAGGAACCAAUGCGAAACAGGCAUUUCGCAGUGACCACUGAGCCUGUGCUUUUGCUAUUUAGCAGUAUCUAAAAGGAGAGAGCUGUAGUGCUUGGCAGACAGGCAGGCAUUGGCGAAGAGUGAAAAUGACAAAAAGAAUGUGGAUGGCUCAUCAAACCCAACAAAUCAUUGUAAAUAGAUUACAAAAGAGCAAACUUGUUCUGCCAGAGAACAUCCUGGGGGAGAGUUAGUGUGUCUAGUCGGCUUCUUUUUGGGGAGGGUUGAUCUAAAGGAAAACAGGUAGGAAGAGGAAGCUGGAGAGUGGGCCUUGUGUAAGAAAAGGAUCUUAAAAAUUGAACACAAGUGUUGUGAUACAGGCAGGCCAAAUAAGGAAUGAAGCACUGGGAGAUGUACAUGCUGUGAAUGGGUGGGGUCUAUGGUAAUAGGUAGGGGGCAUUUCCUUAAUGGACCCCUGUUGGUUGCAUAGAAGUGACAAAGAGGAGAAAGUAUGAAAAGUACUGGGUAGACUUUCAAGUUUUGUGGGAACAGGAAGAAGAAAAAAGAAGAAAUCAGGAUGACAGUGGACACAAUGGGCCGAAAAGGUAGAGGGAAGAAUCAGUGGAUGGUAAGAAGAAUAAAAAUGAUUAGUUCUAGAAAAGCACAUAGAAUGUGGAGAAGAGGCAAGAGUUUGAGUAGUGAGGAGAGGUUCAGGAAAGCACUGGGAGAUGUAUUAUCUGACAAAGUGACACUACUACAGAGGAGUACAGACAAGCAAAACCUUUUUUCUCUUGGCGAGGAAAAGAAGACAUAGAUCAGAAGCAGAAAGUACAUUGCUUUAAGAAAGCUACAUCAAAGAGUCAACUAUAGGAGACAGGGCAGAGGAGACACCCAGAGAGAACAGAGCAGAGCACAGGGAGCAGGGAAGAAGGGACACAAGCUGGACAGGAACAAGAAAGCGGGAAGUCCUAGAGGCAGAAGAAGGCCCUUAAGAGUGCUCUGGUCUACUUGCCAGACAUACUUUGGAAAGAAAAAACCAAAUUAAACAAAGCAGGGAUGGGAAGCAGCCAGCAGGGAGAAAUGUGAUCUUAAAGCCCUGAAUACUGCUAUGUGCGAAGGAAUAAGCCAGGAAGGGAAGGAAGUGCUUCCAACUAGAGAGUGCCUGGUCCAUAUGAGACAGGGAAGGAAACCCUGAACUGCUUGAGUCAAGACAUAAGUGGUCACCACCAGAAAGCUAGGGCCGGGCCAUGGAAUGGGAGAACAAAGGCCAGGGAGGACAGGGGGCCAUCCACAGCAGUGAUUCUUAACCAGGGGGGGGUGGGGGGUUCCACCAGAGGGGGGGGUGGGCACGGCCCCCAGGUGGCCUAUCAGAACACCAGAGGUGAGGCAGUGAUCUGCUCACAAAUACUAACAAUAACACCAGUUAGAAGACGGUUCUGAUAGGCUACUGGGGGGCCGUGCACCCCUGGGUGAGAAUCACUGGUGGAAGGGGGAUUGGAGAUGCAAGAAAAGAAAGAAAAGGCUGGAGUGUCCUGAAAGAGAGUUGUCAGAUCAACAGCAUGUCAGAGUGAAGGUGGACACCCUUGUUUGAGGAUGAAUAGGCAGAAAUGAGGGCAGAGGAAUAUUAAGAGGCAGAUGCUCUCUGUGGGCUUUUCAGGAAUAGUAUCAAUUGAAGAGCACAAAAGGAAGCAAAACAGUUUACAGGGAGCCAUGAGAAUAAAGUUCUAAAAGGAAUUUACAUAGACUCUUGGGUAUAGUAUGCAGGCUUGACAAGUAGUUGGACACAAAGAUGAAGGAGCAUGUUAGAACAAUGGGUGUGGAGGAGAGAUGAAGCAGAGAGUACAUACCCAGGUCUAUAGACUGUGCAUCCCACACAACAGCUGAAAGGUUUCCACUGUGGUGGGGGUGACUAUGCUUCAUUGCAAUAAAGAGUAUGGCAGGAGAAAGGAUCAGCUGGACCCAGGAGAUGGGAGAAGAGGUUUAGAGUUUGAAACAUGUGAGAAACCAAGAGAGUUCAGGAAAUGUACUAAAUCUAAAAAGUGCACUGAGGACCAAGAACAGUGUCAAUUAGCCUGGUCAUGGUGGUGAGAGGCUUUUAAUCCCAGCACUCAGGAUGCAGAGGUAGGUGGCUCUCUGAGUUCGAGGCCAGCCUGGUAUGUAUACAGAGUGAGUUCCAAGACAGGCAGGUUAUACAGAGAAAGUAUGUCUCAAAGAAGGUAGGGGGAUAAAUUGGGAACAAGAAAACUAGGAACUCUGUUUUUAAAGGCUGCAAAGAGAGAGAAUGAACAUGAUUAAUUCCAUGGAGAAAAAGCAUGGCCUGAGUAGUACAA